rnacentral:rRNA from 1 species
UCUGUCAACUCUAACCUAACUUACACAUGCAAGUCUCCGCAUCCCCGUGAGAAUGCCCCACAGUUCCCUUCCUGGGAACAAGGAGCUGGUAUCAGGCACAAUUUAGCCCAAGACACCUUGCUUAGCCACACCCUCAAGGGAACUCAGCAGUGACAAACAUUAAGCCAUGAGUGAAAACUCGACUUAGUUAAGGUUAGGGCCGGUAAAACUCGUGCCAGCCACCGCGGUUAUACGAGAGACCCAAGCUGACAGACACCGGCGUAAAGAGUGGUUAAGAGAUAUAUAAUAAAUUAGAGCCGAACGCUUUCAAGGCUGUUAUACGCACCCGAAAGUAAGAAGAACAAUAACGAAAGUAGCCCUAUCAAUUCUGAACCCACGAAAGCUAAGGCACAAACUGGGAUUAGAUACCCCACUAUGCCUAGCCCUAAACAUUGAUGGUCCAUUACCCGCCUGGGAACUAUGAGCAUAAGCUUAAAACCCAAAGGACUUGGCGGUGCUUUAGAUCCACCUAGAGGAGCCUGUUCUAGAACCGAUAACCCCCGUUAAACCUCACCUUUUCUUGUUUAACCCGCCUAUAUACCGCCGUCGUCAGCUUAUCCUGUGAAGGGCCAUUAAUAAACAAAAUUGGCACAGCCCAAAACGUCAGGUCGAGGUGUAGCGUACGAAAAGGGAAGAAAUGGGCUACAUUCUCUAUCUAGAGAACACGAAUGAUAAACUGAAAAACGUAUCUGAAGGAGGAUUUAGUAGUAAGAAGAAA